ensembl:lncRNA
UUUUCCUUGAUGAAAGUGGAGCUCCUCAUCACUAAUGCUCUCCUGAAAUCUGUCAUCUGGCAGGGAGCAGCAGGGCAGCAGUGUGCCAAGCUGGGCAGGAGGGGCUCAGGACCCAACCACACUGUGUGCACUGCAGGGAUGGGGUGAUGGGAGAACCUCUGUGAGCCUUACCCUGAACCAGGAGUGAUAAAGUGCUCCGUGUACAUCACAGCUAUCCAAAGGCUUGGGCUUGUUGAAGGCAUUUGCCUUUGAAAUGUAGAGUCAAAACAGAGUGACUCCUUAAUGAACCUUUUCUCUUUCAAUAAGAUAGUUAAUUUCCCUCAAUCUAGCUUCAAUUCAGUAUUUAAAAAAUCAGAGGCGUUUCUUUCAGCUCACAGACAAUCAAAGCACCAUUUGAUCGCGGAGCGUGCGGUGGUUUUGUCAGUCUGGCUGCACUCAGCGCAUGGGGAAGAAGUGAGAGGGGCACCGGGUGGGGAGGGGAGCUCUGUGCCUGGAGGGGGAGGUCAGGGUUAGGAUCAGAGUUGGUUAGGGUCAAGGUCAGGGUCACUUUAGGGUUAGGAUUAGGUUUAGAGUCAGGGUUAGGGUUAGGAUGAGGGUUAGGAUUAGGGUCAGGUUUAGGGUCAGGGUCAUCUGAGGGUUAGGAUUAGGGUUAGGGUUAGGGUCAGGGUCAUUUUAGGGUUAGGAUUAGGUUUAGGGUCAGGGUUAGGAUGACGGUUAGGAUUAGGGUCAUCUGAGGGUUAAGAUUAGGUUUAGGGUCAGGGUCAGUUUAGGGUUAGGCUCAGGUUUAGGGUCAGGGCUGCGCCGUGCAGCCCAAACCAGCAGCACCACACUGCUCCCACAUCUCACUGGGGCACAGCUCAGCCCAGCUUUGCUUCACCCCCAGACCAGGUGAGCUCCAUUUGCAGAGAUGCUGCAGGCACCACCAGCAGCUGUAAAUACACCACAAACGCUUCUCCACGUGGGUGUUUAUCCUUCUUCCCAGCAGUUCCCAGGUUCAGGUCAGCACAGCUGCUGUAGCGCUGGGUGACGGCGACAGAACCGCUUCCAUCUCCGGAGGAAUGCAGGAAGCGUCAGUGCUGAGUGUGACACAGGUCAGGGCGGAACGAUCUGCUAACCAGAUUAGACGCCAUUCGCAAUCUCUGGAGAGCACUCAUAAAUGCAUUACCGGAUUUGCAUAACAACAGGCGGUUUAAGUGGCGCACAGAAGGAACAGAUGAUGAUCCGCUAAACAAAUGUGCACGUCUGAACGCGGCGCUCAUCCCCCAGCAGCGGCCCGCAGUGCAGCAAGGAGGGACCCAGCAGCUCCACAGCACGGCCGCAUAGGGGUGAUGGGGCCCGAGGAGGAGCUCAUGUGCCUUACAACCGAGAUGCGGAGACGUCGGGCAGGACGGUGGUGUGGGAAGCCAGGGCCAGGCAGGCAAUAGGAGACCCGCAUGGGCAUGCUGGGCUGGAAAGGAGCAGAUCUGGUGAAGAGCCCGAGGUUACAGCCAUCACACAGCUCCACAGACACUCGAAUUAUCUCCUCUCAUCCAAAGGUGUAUUCUUUUUAAUAUUAUUAUUUAUUAUUAUUAUUAUUUUCCAAAGAAAAUCCUCCUGGAGAUGCUGCUCUGUGCUGUGACACAGGGCUAUUUGCAUUCCAUUACACACCUCCCC